GGGGAUAUGGGCCAAGUGGUAGAGUGCUUGCUUACCUAGCAAUUGGGAGUUCCUGAGUUCAAAUCUCUGUACUUCCA
rnacentral:tRNA from 1 species